GCCAGCGUGGCGUAGUGGUUUGAGUAUCAGAUUACAACCGUGGAGACCAGGGUUCGAUUCCCCGCUCAGUCA